AAUGAACGCUGGCGGCAGGCCUAACACAUGCAAGUCGAACGGAGUUAUAUUGUAGCUUGCUAUGGUAUAACUUAGUGGCAGACGGGUGAGUAAUGUAUAGGAAUCUACCUAGUAGUAUGGAAUAAUUGUUGGAAACGGCAACUAAUACCGUAUACGCCCUACGGGGGAAAAAUUUAUUGCUAUUAGAUGAGCCUAUAUUAGAUUAGCUAGUUGGUGGAGUAACAGCCUACCAAGGCAAUGAUCUAUAGCUGAUCUGAGAGGAUGAUCAGCCACACUGGAACUGAGAUACGGUCCAGACUCCUACGGGAGGCAGCAGUGGGGAAUAUUGGACAAUGGGCGAAAGCCUGAUCCAGCCAUGCCGCAUGAGUGAAGAAGGCCUUUGGGUUGUAAAGCUCUUUUAGUGAGGAAGAUAAUGACGGUACUCACAGAAGAAGUCCUGGCUAACUCCGUGCCAGCCGCCGCAGAAACAC
rnacentral:rRNA from 1 species